rnacentral:rRNA from 1 species
UGGGGAAUAUUGCACAAUGGGCGCAAGCCUGAUGCAGCAACGCCGCGUGAGGGACGACGGCCUUCGGGUUGUAAACCUCUUUUAGUAGGGAAGAAGCGAAAGUGACGGUACCUGCAGAAAAAGCACCGGCUAACUACGUGCCAGCAGCCGCGGUAAUACNUAGGGUGCGAGCGUUGUCCGGAAUUAUUGGGCGUAAAGAGCUCGUAGGCAGUCUGUCGCGUCUGCUGUGAAAACCCCGAGGCUCAACCUCGGGCCUGCAGUGGGUACGGGCAGACUAGAGUGCGGUAGGGGAGAAUGGAAUUCCUGGUGUAGCGGUGGAAUGCGCAGAUAUCAGGAGGAACACCGAUGGCGAAGGCAGUUCUCUGGGCCGUAACUGACGCUGAGGAGCGAAAGCGUGGGGAGCGAACAGGAUUAGAUACCCUGGUAGUCCACGCCGUAAACGUUGGGCGCUAGAUGUGGGGACCAUUCCACGGUUUCCGUGUCGCAGCUAACGCAUUAAGCGCCCCGCCUGGGGAGUACGGCCGCAAGGCUAAAACU